CCUACGGGAGGCAGCAGUGAGGAAUAUUGGUCAAUGGGCGCGAGCCUGAACCAGCCAAGUCGCGUGAGGGAUGAAGGUACAGAGUAUCGUAAACCUCUUUUGUCAGGGAACAAAGGCGGGGACGUGUCCCCGGAUGAGUGUACCUGAAGAAAAAGCAUCGGCUAACUCCGUGCCAGCAGCCGCGGUAAUACGGAGGAUGCGAGCGUUAUCCGGAUUUAUUGGGUUUAAAGGGUGCGCAGGCGGUCUGUUAAGUCAGCGGUCAAAGCCCGGGGCUCAACCCCGGCCCGCCGUUGAAACUGGCAGUCUCGAGUUGGAGAGAAGUAUGCGGAAUGCGCGGUGUAGCGGUGAAAUGCAUAGAUAUCGCGCAGAACUCCGAUUGCGAAGGCAGCAUGCCGGCUCCACACUGACGCUGAGGCACGAAAGCGUGGGUAUCGAACAGGAUUAGAUACCCGAGUAGUC
rnacentral:rRNA from 1 species